UGAGGGAAUAUUUGGGUCAAUGGACGGAAGUCUGAACCAGCCAUGCCGCGUGCAGGACUAAGGCCCUAUGGGUCGUAAACUGCUUUUGUGGUGGAGCAAUAAGGUUCACGUGUGGACCGAUGAGAGUACACUACGAAUAAGCAUCGGCUAACUCCGUGCCAGCAGCCGCGGUAAUACGGAGGAUGCAAGCGUUAUCCGGAUUUAUUGGGUUUAAAGGGUGCGUAGGCUGUGCUGCAAGUCGGAGGUGAAAUAUCCUGGCUCAACCGGGAGGGUGCCUUCGAUACUGCAGUGCUGGAAUACUGUUGCCGCGGGAGGAAUGAGUAGUGUAGCGGUGAAAUGCAUAGAUAUUACUCAGAACACCGAUUGCGAAGGCAUCUCGCGAAGCAGUUAUUGACGCUGAGGGCACGAAAGCGU
rnacentral:rRNA from 1 species